UACGGGGGGGGCAAGCGUUGUUCGGAAUUACUGGGCGUAAAGGGCGCGUAGGCGGUUCGCUAAGUUGAAUGUGAAAACUCUGGGCUUAACCCAGAGCCUGCAUUCAAUACUGGCGGGCUAGAGUUCUGGAGGGGAUAGCGGAAUUCCUGGUGUAGCGGUGAAAUGCGUUGAUAUCAGGAGGAACACCCAUGGCGAAGGCAGCUAACUGGGCAUUAUCUGACGCUGAGGCGCGAAAGCGUGGGUAGCAAACAGG
rnacentral:rRNA from 1 species